CCUACGGGAUGCUGCAGUGAGGAAUAUUGGUCAAUGGGCGUAAGCCUGAACCAGCCAAGUCGCGUGAGGGAUGAAGGUUCUAUGGAUCGUAAACCUCUUUUAUAAGGGAAUAAAGUGUGGGACGUGUCCUAUUUUGUAUGUACCUUAUGAAUAAGGAUCGGCUAAAUCCGUGCCAGCAGCCGCGGUAAUACGGAGGAUCCGAGCGUUAUCCGGAUUUAUUGGGUUUAAAGGGUGCGUAGGCGGCCUUUUAAGUCAGCGGUGAAAGUAUGUGGCUCAACCAUAGAAUUGCAGUUGAAACUGGGGGGCUUGAGUAUGUUUGAGGCAGGCGGAAGUCGUGGUGUAGCGGUGAAAUGCUGAGAUAUCACGCAGAACCCCGAUUGCGAAGGCAGCCUGCCAAGCCAUGACUGACGCUGAUGCACGAAAGCGUGGGGAUCAAACAGGAUUAGAUACCCGGGUAGUC
rnacentral:rRNA from 1 species